UCUACGUAAUUUUAAUAAACAAAGCCUUUUUGCAACUGUUAUCGUCUGUCCCUAUAUAUUCACAUAUGUGUAGUGAUUUCAAAUCUAAUAGGUCAUGCAAAAAUGGGUCAUUUUCAAGUGUAUUCCUUUAAUAGUACUAUGUUUCAAAUUUAUCUUAGUGUUAAAUGAAGGGUCAUGAAUCAUGAUAUUAAUUUAAAUUAUUUUUGCUUAAAUCUUGUUUCUCAAGUAUAUAUAUUGAUCAUAAGUUUAUGACUUUGACAUUUUUCUUUAUUGUCUUGUGGUGAGGAGGAAAAUUUUGCUUAAAUCUUGUUCAAAAUUUCAACACGGUACAUGUAUGAAUAAAGGAGGAAAAUUACAACUAAUGUUAAGAGGGCUCGAACUCGGCACCUCAUACAAUAAUGUCUAAGCUCCUUGCCGCGAGGACAAAGGCUCUGGACAACAUUAAAGACGUGGUUGACUAAACCGAGUAUUAAACGACAACUUCCAUAUCUCAUUUCCCUCUUAUACAAUUGUCCUGCCCAUUAAGGUGCCUACAAAUUAGGGCGGGGAAUAGUCAUUGAGCUCGCCGGUGAAUAUCCUUGUUAUUGACUCAAUUAUUGCAUGGUGCUGAAAAAUAGAUACGGAUGAAGAUUAUGCAAAAAUUACUUUGAUAUACCUAUACUGGAAUUGAUUGCCAAGGAUCUACAUGGAAAUGAAUGGCAAUUGAAGCAUAUAUCUAAUUUUGAGGUGAUCAGAUACCGUGUUUGCUUUCUAGUUGUUGUUUAACCUAGGAGGCAUUUGCUAACUACAGGCAGGGUGGAGUACAUUUGUCACUUCUAAGAGUAUAGUUUCUGCUGGUGACACUUUGGUAUUUCUAAGCUACUUAUAGAUGUUGUAUAUGAGGUAGACAGCAUUUCAUUCUGAGGAUUUCUAUUUUCUGAGUUGAAUUCAAUUUCAAACCACAUUCUCUAGUUAUAUCCCAACACUCGCUCCCCCUUACGAGAGAGUGUGAGUUCACUACUACAAGAUGGUUUCAGACCUACUUCUACACACAAACCAUCGACCACUUCACCUAUGCGACGUUCUCUCAGAAGUACGUCGUGAAUGCAAGGUAUUGGGGUGGCCCGAACUUGAACAGGCCCAUUUUCACAUACCUAGGCGCGGAGCAUCUGCUAGUCGUCAUCAACAAUAAUGCUCCCCACUUCAAGGCCCUCUCCGUCUUCAUAGAGAGAAUCGGUCCCCUUCGGAACGAUCUGCAGAAUGAGACCACCCGGGGAUAAUUUAAUUCGGCUCAAGCACUAGCCGACUAUGCUGAGAUCCUGCUGAGCGUGAAGGAGACGUUCUUGGGGUAUGAUUCUCCUGUUAUCGUCGUCGGAGGAUCGAUACGGUGGAAAUACCCACACUUAGCCCUCGGCGCUCUAGCUUCGUCAGCUCCAGUUCUCUACUUCGACGACAUGGUAGAAAAUGGAUAUUUCUCCGUAGUCACCAAGACGACACUGGCGAGAGCUGUUACGAAGCCAUGGGAUGAAAUUGACUAUGUUGCGUCAAUGCCAGGAGGCCUCGUAACUACUUUACAUUAAUCCAACAAUAUUAUAAAUAUUAGCAAUAUAUAGAUUACUGAAUUAAUGUCUUUAACAAUUAUUAUUAUAGUUAUUAAUUGUACAAUAUAAAAUGAACCGAUUUUUGUAUUUGAGGUCUAUAUAUCCAGCUUUAUUUAUAUAGGCCCAAUUAUUAAUUACACUGAGUUAUC